rnacentral:lncRNA from 1 species
CAGCUGGGGAGAGGCAGGGCUGAAGAAGGGCAGGCUUGAGCAGGCUCCUUCCACCCAGACAAAGGUUGGCUGCUGCCCAAGUGAGAUUCUGCCCACAUCUCCACACCCGCACCCUUUCCUGUGGCCCACAUUGAGGUAUGAAGGUCUCCAGUAACCAGACUCUCCUCUACCUUGUUGGUUCCCCACCCAAACCUCCUGGCUGAAGCCCCUGUACCAGGGUGAUUUUUCCAGUCCCAGAGAAGGGAUUCUGCUCUGAUCCAAGGUAGCCCCACCUGGCCAGACACUGGGCACCCCAGGGGAGAAAGGAAUGAGUGAGGAUGCAGACAGGAGAUGGGUCUAGUGACGGAGGAGGGCAAAGGGCAGUUAGCAGUCUGGAGACAGUGAGUCACGCCAGUCUUCUCUGUGGAGAGACACCUGGGGUCUUGGGCCAAGGAUUGACAAUAGUGGUCUUGCCUUUGCCCCUUCACGGAGCCCAUGGGCACGAUGCUUGCAUCCUGGGGGAGCCCUUGGUCCCACGCCUACUGAGCUGCAAUGGACUUGAGAAUGCAGUGAAUUGUGUCUGUGUGGAUUGGGCAGGGCCAUCCACCAGGGCCUCUAUGGGGCAUGGAGAAUGUCUUCCUCAGGCAUUUGCUUCCCCUCACUCCCCAGUCCCCCACUCCCCCUUAGCACACAUGCACAGCCCCC